rfam:TPA: Bos taurus chromosome 11, whole genome shotgun sequence.
UCGCUAGUGGCUCAGUCGGUAAAGAAUCUGCCUACAACGCAGGAGACCCAGGUUUGAUUCCUGAGUGGGGAA